AGAGUUUGAUCCUGGCUCAGGAUGAACGCUAGCGACAGGCUUAACACAUGCAAGUCGAGGGGCAGCGGGGGCGUAGCAAUAUGCCUGCCGGCGACCGGCGCACGGGUGAGUAACACGUAUGUAACCUGCCCUAUGCAGGGGGAUAACCCGGAGAAAUCCGGCCUAAUACCGCGUAACACCUUAGGGGAGCAUUCUCUUGAGGUUAAAGGAGAGAUCCGGCAUAGGAUGGACAUGCGUCGCAUUAGGUAGACGGCGGGGUAACGGCCCACCGUGCCGACGAUGCGUAGGGGUUCUGAGAGGAAGGCCCCCCACACUGGUACUGAGACACGGACCAGACUCCUACGGGAGGCAGCAGUGAGGAAUAUUGGUCAAUGGCCGAGAGGCUGAACCAGCCAAGUCGCGUGAGGGAAGAAUGUCCUAAGGAUUGUAAACCUCUUUUGUCGGGGAGCAAAAAGGCUCUGCGGAGUCGUAUUGAGAGUACCCGAAGAAAAAGCAUCGGCUAACUCCGUGCCAGCAGCCGCGGUAAUACGGAGGAUGCGAGCGUUAUCCGGAUUUAUUGGGUUUAAAGGGUGCGCAGGCGGCGUGUCAAGCAAGCGGUAAAAUAGCGGGGCUCAACCCCGUCGAGCCGUUUGAACUGGCGCGCUUGAGUUCAGGCGAGGUAGGCGGAAUUCGUGGUGUAGCGGUGAAAUGCAUAGAUAUCACGAAGAACUCCGAUUGCGAAGGCAGCUUACCAGUCUGCGACUGACGCUCAGGCACGAAAGUGUGGGUAUCGAACAGGAUUAGAUACCCUGGUAGUCCACACAGUAAACGAUGAGCGCUAGGUGUCCGGGUCGCAUGAGACUUGGGUGCCCGAGCGAAAGCGUUAAGCGCUCCACCUGGGGAGUACGCCGGCAACGGUGAAACUCAAAGGAAUUGACGGGGGCCCGCACAAGCGGAGGAACAUGUGGUUUAAUUCGAUGAUACGCGAGGAACCUUACCCGGGCUCAAACGACUCAGGAAUAUAUUGGAAACGAUGUAGCCAGCAAUGGUCUGAGUCGAGGUGCUGCAUGGUUGUCGUCAGCUCGUGCCGUGAGGUGUCGGCUUAAGUGCCAUAACGAGCGCAACCCCUACCGCCAGUUGCCAACGGGUAAAGCCGGGAACUCUGGCGGGACUGCCGGCGCAAGCUGCGAGGAAGGCGGGGAUGACGUCAAAUCAGCACGGCCCUUACGUCCGGGGCGACACACGUGUUACAAUGGCAGGUACAGCGGGAAGCCACCUGGUGACAGGGAGCGGAACCCGAAAGCCUGUCUCAGUUCGGAUUGGAGUCUGCAACUCGACUCCAUGAAGCUGGAUUCGCUAGUAAUCGCGCAUCAGCCAUGGCGCGGUGAAUACGUUCCCGGGCCUUGUACUCACCGCCCGUCA
rnacentral:rRNA from 1 species